rnacentral:tRNA from 2 species
GGAAGGGUGGCUCAGUGGUAGAGCAAUAAACUUCCGGUUUACGGCUUCGCGUGGUUCGACUCCCGCCCCUUCCA